rnacentral:rRNA from 1 species
UACAGAGGUCCCAAGCGUUGUUCGGAUUCAUUGGGCGUAAAGGGUGCGUAGGCGGCGCGGUAAGUCGGGUGUGAAAUCUCGGAGCUUAACUCCGAAACUGCAUUCGAUACUGCAGUGCUGGAGGACUGGAGAGGAGACUGGAAUUUACGGUGUAGCGGUGAAAUGCGUAGAUAUCGUAAGGAAGACCAGUGGCGAAGGCGGGUCUCUGGACAGUUCCUGACGCUGAGGCACGAAGGUCAGGGGAGCAAACGGG